rnacentral:lncRNA from 1 species
GUCAAAAGUCUAUAGUUUCAAGUAUUAAACUUUUCCAAUAUUGAGUAGUGAGUAAAUGACAAAUUUCAACAUGGUACAAAAUUUUGAAGCAAAUUAACAGAAAUUGCUACCUAAUACAAGUGUUAACCAAUAAAUCGGCUAGAACAUAUGAUGAUGCUCUUUUCAAUCAUACAUUUUUUUUCAACACAAGGGUAUCCGGGUCUUUGGUCCGACUAAUCUCCUGCGACCUGAGAGGAGAAACCCAUUCCUUUCAAACACGUUAGUCCCGGGACUCGAUCUUGGUGGCCAUAUCCUAGCUCCUUUCAAUAAUACAUGCUAGUACGAAUAUCUAGUGGUAUCACGUUGGCUGGAUUUUGUCACAGGCAGCUGAUCAAACUACUUUCCUCAGUACGAGUAACAGCCUCCCUCAAAGCAGCCAGGACCUUAUGUGAUGGCUCUAAAGGUGCUGCAUCUAAGGAUUCAACAACAGUCAAGAUCAAGUUCAGUGAAAGGAGAUUUUUUAUCAUCAAGAUUACAGGCACUAGGCAUUCUUCAUUAGUCAAAUCGAAUAAAAUAUCAGAGACAAAGUAGCAGCAAUAGUCAAUAGCGUAUCUUAACAGUAAAAACUAUUGCAGCAAACAGUAAGAGCAAUGUCGUGCUUUUGACUAACUUGAGCCAGAUGCCACUCAUUGCUUAUAUCUUAACAGUACAAAAGCUCCUUCCCUCAGAAUAAGUCCUUCAAGAUUGGAGCGAGUCCCGUAGUGUUUUUUAAAUUCCCCGACAGGCAUCCAUCCAUCCUUGAGUAGCCCGUGAAUAUAUACUAUAAAUGCCAGAUGGAAGUUCUUCCAAGAAGUUUCAGUGUGACCAUUGCUUUUGAAUCUUCAAAAUCUACAACUGUUUUAAAUUGACUAAACAAAGGUUGAUCAUAGAUAAAAAAAUCUAUAUUGAACCUGCAUAAGACGUCUUACCAUUAAGACAUAUAUAAUGAUUUACUAGUAUUGCUGUGUACACGAGAUCCACAUUCAAAAUAUUGGUGAGACUUAUCCUCAUUCACCUUCUUACUUUCCCUGUCGCCUAAUAUAUCUUAGCAAUUCCUCUUGAAAUGACAACUAUUGUAACAAAAUUCAUGGGACCCCAGAUGAAGACGACCCUGAAUUUGUGGAGCCAUUGUAGUGCAACAUCAAAGCUAAUGAACUUACUCAUAUAUACAUUAUGAAACCUGGCAGGGGCAAAACCUUUUUUGAAUGCACGAAGCAACCAAUCUAAGCACUAUAUUCCAGACAAAAAUGGUUUCGGAUUACCAAUUAUUCAGCCGAUCAUAUACAAGCACACAAAGAAAUUCACUCUUUGAAUUCAUUUCAAUCACGUACUCCUUGGAUUUAGAAUGAUGUGACAGCUUGAGUUGCAAAGUUAUGUUAGGAAGCAGAGUCAAAGACUGAGGACAACAUACCAGAACUUUCUCUUCCUUCUUCACCCGAAUAGGGGUGAGCAUUCGGUGCAAAUGCGGUAAAUCGGUGCGCUGAAUUCGAUUUUUUCGGUUAUUGCACCUAUAGAAAUCUAAACCGUUUUCAAUUUCGAAUUGAGCAUUACCGAAUUCAUGCGGUACCCGAUUUCAAAUUCGAAAACGGUAAUGAAUUCGGUCUAACCGAAUUCAUCUAUUAUUUAAAAAAAAAAAACCUGAAGCAAAUUAAGAGAAUAUAUAAAACCAAUCUUUAUAGUUCAGCAACUACCAACCCCCGCAAGCCAUUAGAUGUUUCUCUUUUACACAUUGCAGAAAAUUCAUAUCCAGAAUCCUAAGUACAACUUCUGGAGCCGUACUUUCACUAGAUGUGCACCAAAGAUUGAGAAUCUCCACGGACAAGGAGGUAAAAUUUUCAUUUUAACAAGUUUUUUCCUUUUUAAUUUUUCUAACGGCUAAAAGGUGGAAUUUCUCCCCAAGGCCUUAACUUUUAAAGGCUGCACAACUGGAGAGAGCUUCUUGUGUAUAAAAUACAAAGCUUAUGUUAUAUCACACCUAAUCUAAACUACUACAACAGUUAGAGUUUGCAAUUGGAAGCUCAGAUUUCGUCCCCUUAUCAAUUCAGGAUAACAAAUUUCCUAGUCGAUCUUGGCCCAUUUUAAUGCCAGAGAUACAGAGCCAAAAACAGAGGAGCACUUACCUAAGUGAGCCAGAGAUGAGCAGUGAUGAACCAGCGAUGAACUAGUGAGAUCUUGGUGCUUCGUCUUCGACACUCGGCAGCGAUGAACCAGCACGGCAGGACACAGCCGACAGGAGACGUAGAGCGCGGCGGACUGACGGAGGCCGGAGAGGCAGAGAGCACCUUCGAUUUGGGAAUUGGGACUUGGGACAUGGGAUUGUUAGUGCUGUGAAAGCCCUAGGUGACGGCAGUCACGGCACUAUGCAAUAUUGCAAAUUUGCAAUGGUUGUUUUCUCACUUUUCAAUUUUCAUCAGCUGAAGAUGAAAUCCGACUUUUCCCAAAUGAAGUGAUUUUGUAAUUUUUAAUUUACAAAUUGGGGCUCCUAAAUUAUAAUACAUUCAUUAUGCUCCUCAAUGAUUUAAAAAUUAUUACUGAUUUGAUCCCCAAAUUUAUUCAUAAUUGAACACAUUACUUAUGUUCAAAUCAUUU